rnacentral:rRNA from 1 species
AAGACACACAAACGAACUCUUGUCUGAAGAUUGCAGUCUGAGUACUUGACUAAAUCAGUUAAAACUUUCAACAACGGAUCUCUUGGUUCCGGCAUCGAUGAAGAACGCAGCGAAAUGCGAUAAGUAAUGUGAAUUGCAGAAUUCAGUGAAUCAUCGAGUCUUUGAACGCACAUUGCGCCCCCUGGUAUUCCGGGGGGCAUGCCUGUCCGAGCGUCAUUGCUGCCCUCAAGCACGGCUUGUGUGUUGGGCUCUCGCCCCCCGCUUCCGGGGGGCGGGCCCGAAAGGCAGCGGCGGCACCGCGUCCGGUCCUCGAGCGUAUGGGGCUUCGUCACCCGCUCUGUAGGCCCGGCCGGCGCCCGCCGGCGAACACCAUCAAUCUUAACCAGGUUGACCUCGGAUCAGGUAGGGAUACCCGCUGAACUUAAGCAUAUC